rnacentral:rRNA from 1 species
AACGAACGCUGGCGACGUGGAUAAGACAUGCAAGUCGAACGGGACAGACCGAGUAGCAAUAUUUGGAAUGUUCAGUGGCGAACGGGUGCGUAACACGUGGAUAACAUUCCGGAAAGCGGGGAAUAGCCCAGGGAAACUUGGAUUAAUACCGCAUGUGGCCGCAAGGCUAAAGACGGGGACCGCAAGGCCUGUCACUUUCCGAUUGGUCCGCGGCCUAUCAGCUAGUUGGCGGGGUAAUGGCCCACCAAGGCUACGACGGGUAGCUGGUCUUAGAGGACGACCAGCCACACUGGAACUGAGACACGGUCCAGACACCUACGGGUGGCAGCAGUCGAGAAUCUUUCACAAUGGGGGCAACCCUGAUGGAGCGACGCCACGUGGAGGAUAAGGUCUUCGGAUUGUAAACUCCUGUCAUGCGAGAACAAGGUACUCAGGCUAAUAACCUGAUUGUUUGAUGGUACCGCAAGAGGAAGAGACGGCUAACUCUGUGCCAGCCGCCGCCGUAAGAC